CUCAUUCCGUAAUACAAGAUCCCGUGACUUACACUUAGUCACUUUGCUUGCAAGGCUUGUGUGUGAUAUUCUAUUACCGAGUGGACCCUGAGAUACCUCUUCGUCACACGGAGUGACAAAUCCAAGUCUUGAUCCAUACUAACUCAACGGACACCUUCGGAGAUACCUGUAGAGCACCUUUAUAGUCACCUAGUUACAUUGCGAUGUUUGAUACACACAAGGUAUUCCUCAGGUGCUAGUGAGUUAUAUGAUCUCAUGGUCAUAGGAAUAAAUACUUGACACGCAGAAAACAAUAGCAAUAAAAUGACACGACCAAUAUGCUACGUUCAUAGUUUGGGUCUAGUCCAUCACAUGAUUCUCCUA
rnacentral:lncRNA from 1 species